UGGGGAAUAUUGCACAAUGGGCGCAAGCCUGAUGCAGCCAUGCCGCGUGUAUGAAGAAGGCCUUCGGGUUGUAAAGUACUUUCAGUCGGGAGGAAGGUGGUAAGGUUAAUAACCUUAUCAAUUGACGUUACCGACAGAAGAAGCACCGGCUAACUCCGUGCCAGCAGCCGCGGUAAUACGGAGGGUGCAAGCGUUAAUCGGAAUUACUGGGCGUAAAGCGCACGCAGGCGGUUGAUUGAGUCAGAUGUGAAAUCCCCGGGCUUAACCCGGGAAUUGCAUCUGAUACUGGUCAGCUAGAGUCUUGUAGAGGGGGGUAGAAUUCCAUGUGUAGCGGUGGAAUGCGUAGAGAUGUGGAGGAAUAACGGUGGCGAAGGCGGCCCCCUGGACAAAGACUGACGCUCAGGUGCGAAAGCGUGGGGAGCAAACAGG
rnacentral:rRNA from 1 species